AUUCAGUCUUAAAGUAAAUACUGACCAGAUGCAUCUGUCUUUAGCUUUAAAAACACAAAAAACUUCUGACUUAAAAUUGUAGUAAGUUUGAAACAUUUGUAAGCCUUAAAAUCUCUAUUUCCAUUUACUAUAUAGGUAAUGACUAUUCUCAAAUAUCCAGAAACUGAAUCUAAAGCAAAUUUUUUUUCAAGAACUGAAAGGUUUCUAAGAAUAACACAGGAUCAAUUUGACUCAUAUUACAGUUUACAAAUGAAUAUCUAAUUUGCUCACCAUAAGAGUACUUACAAAUUCCAAGAGGACUGCACAGGAAGGUGUUGUUUUUUUCUCUAUAAGCUUUAUGUUUUCCAGUUUGUUUUUUUAUUUUGUAUCCUCUGAAAUAUCCAAGUUCUUUGAAGAUACUUAACCUAUGACUAUUUGACAUAGAGUUAUUUGAAGUCAGCUACCCAUAUUUGUUUUGAAGUUUUCAUAUGGCUAUAUCCAGAAUUAGCCAAGGUUCCUUGGAUUCAAGAGCAAGGUCUUCUUUACUAUUCCAUGUAUUUGUCACUGUACUUAUCCACUCCAGAUGAAAUAUCCAAUUUAUGUGCAAAAAGCAGAAACAAAAAGAAAAUUUCACAUCUGAAGAUUACUUCUAAACAUCAGCAUGUACAGAGACACAAAUAGCUAUCUCAAUACUACCAUGCUGGUGUGAAACUGGAACAUCUUACAUUCCCAAGUAAAUAAAAGAUAAAAAGAAAAACACUGUAUUUUUUCAAUGUCUUCAUUUAGAAAAGCUGUCCCAUCGUAAUAUGAAAAGAGCUGAAGUCAAAAAUUACUAAAACUUUCAAUAAAGGUAAAAAGAACUGCCACGAAACUUCAGCAAUAUUUCAACAGUAAUUUGUAACUACUCAGUACACAAAUCAAACAUAUCUUACAGUUUUGGCUGAAGAACACCAACAGGAAAGGGGGGGAAGAGGCAAAAAUAACACCAGAUGAAAUACUUUAACCACUUAUAUAAUCCAAAUGACUGGGUCUUUAGUAGCUCGUUGAAUUUGUUCACUACUAUCAAUUCACUUCGGAGAUGAUUCUUGUCAAUUUUAAUAAACUUCUGGGGCAAAAUUACCCAAAAAAAAAAAAAAAAAGAAAAGAAAAACAAAACAAAACUGUAAUUCCAAAAUGGCCUCUUGAAAUACCCGGGGCCUUUUAAACAAAACCUAGAAGAUGAAUCUUCAUAUCUGUUUAAUUCAAUCACCUGUAAGUUAUAAAAAAAAAAAAGUAAAUCACAAUUUUGAUUUUUCAAAUAAAAAUCAACCCCCACUUUGGGAAAAAAAAAAAUCAACCUCUGUCUCGAACUCAUGUCUGUACAGUCCUAAAAACAGCUUGGUAAAGAGCCUUUUCCUAACCCUCGGCAAAAGCCUACUACUGAAUGGAAAGGACUUCCAAGCCGAGGGGCAGAAAACGGUGGGUGAACCACUGAGCAAAGUUCUGAUC
rnacentral:lncRNA from 1 species